rnacentral:rRNA from 1 species
UAGGGAAUCUUCCACAAUGGACGCAAGUCUGAUGGAGCAACGCCGCGUGAGUGAAGAAGGUUUUCGGAUCGUAAAGCUCUGUUGUUGGUGAAGAAGGAUAGAGGUAGUAACUGGCCUUUAUUUGACGGUAAUCAACCAGAAAGUCACGGCUAACUACGUGCCAGCAGUGCGGUAAUACGUAGGUGGCAAGCGUUGUCCGGAUUUAUUGGGCGUAAAGCGAGCGCAGGCGGAAGAAUAAGUCUGAUGUGAAAGCCCUCGGCUUAACCGAGGAACUGCAUCGGAAACUGUUUUUCUUGAGUGCAGAAGAGGAGAGUGGAAUUCCAUGUGUAGCGGUGGAAUGCGUAGAUAUAUGGAAGAACAACAGUGGCGAAGGCGACUCUCUGGUCUGCAACUGACGCUGAGGCUCGAAAGCAUGGGUAGCGAACAGG